AACCCGUUAAUGGUUCCAAUCGUUUUUUCCCCCAUUCACUUUACCGUCAGGGAUUUUAGAACUACUUCAUAUAAGGUUUGACUUUCGUGUAGGUUUACCCCGGCGUGAUGUUUUGAUAACAGCGCAAAUCUCUCUCGGACAAGUGAACUAGCUCUCCAUCGAUCUGAAGCAAGGAUGGUUCUUUGCUAUGUAGCGGAUUGUAACCACUACUCUGAUAAGCACACGCGCAUUUGAUCAUUUUCCGACCUCUGUAUUCGAGAGGCGUCGCUGGAGCCGUGUGAUAAGGUACAGGCAGUGAUGACUGGGGCCUUCAGGAGGUAAGACACAUGGUGUAAGAAAUUAUUUGAACAUCACAGAUAUAAAUUCCAAUGUGCCCAUGAUAAUGUUAACAACAUGACUUUAGUUGGCUGCUUUGAGCAAUCUAACAUAACCUAUUCUGGGAGCCUACUGUGUUUGUAUGAACUACGUGGAAUAUUUUUUGACCAUUGGCUUCCCUGAAAACAGGUACUGACAGGAGGCAAGACGAGAACGCUGAUCCAGUGCACUCAGGAUCCCAGACCCUGUGACUUAAAGCCCUCACCACUGCACAUCCUUCCCUGUAGCCAUUUUUAAUGCCUUGAUGUCCUUAUUGUUAUCUGUGCCCCACUUUACAGACAACACUCCAUCCAACGACUGUAAACACCUUGAAAUGCAUUCGUUCUAAGAAAUGUGCUAUAUAAAUAAAGUUUGAUUUGAUUGAUGACAUUACAGCUAUAGAAUAUUUAAUAAACUGUCAUUUUCACAUGA